rnacentral:rRNA from 1 species
GGACUACCGGGGUAUCUAAUCCUGUUUGCUCCCCAUGCUUUCGUGCCUCAGUGUCAGUAUCUGUCCAGAAGGUCGCCUUCGCCACCGAUGUUCCUUCCAAUAUCUACGCAUUUCACCGCUACACUGGAAAUUCCACCUUCCUCUACAGUACUCUAGCCACACAGUUUCAGGCGCAAUCCCCAGGUUAAGCCCGGGACUUUCACACCUAACUUAUGCAACCACCUACGCACCCUUUACGCCCAGUAAUUCCGAUUAACGCUCGCACCCUCUGUAUUACCGCGGCUGCUGGCAC